GGCCGCGUUCGAGGAGUCGUCGCGUGAAAAUGCCGGGGAACACCUUGCGGCCGCACGAUCGUCGCGUGUGAUCGUUCGCAGCAUGUGAACCCCCGCGAGUACACCUACAAUUGGAGCACCUAUCGGCGAUCGGGAAGCUUAUUGGGGAAUCGAAGAUUAUACUUGACGACGCAAAAUGGAGACAUCACUCGUGAUCCUCGGCGAGAAAAACCUCUCGAGAUGUCGCGAAAACGUCGAACGCGGCGGCGUCCUUCAGUAUAUCUGAAGGGGAGAUGCACUUUGCGAAGAUGCACGGGUGAUACAGGACAGGCUCCGACAAAAUGUUGAUCAAGGAGUAUCGCAUACCGUUGCCUCUCACGGUAGAGGAGUAUCGAAUCGCUCAGCUGUACAUGAUAGCGAAAAAAUCUCGGGAGGAGAGCAAGGGUGCCGGUAGCGGCGUGGAGAUAAUCGAGAACGAGCCGUACAGCAAUGGACCAGGCGGUAACGGGCAGUAUACACACAAAAUCUAUCACGUGGGCAGUCAUCUGCCGGGCUGGUUCAAAAGUCUCUUGCCCAAGUCGGCGUUGAUCGCCAAGGAGGAAGCAUGGAACGCCUAUCCGUACACAAAGACCCGCUACACAUGCCCGUUCGUGGGAAAGUUCUCCGUCGAGAUCGAAACUUACUACUUUCCAGACGACGGCCACCAGGAAAACGUUUUCAAUCUCACCGGCAGUGAUUACAGGAACAGGAUCGUGGACAUAAUCGACAUUGUCAAGGAUCAGCCGUAUGGGGCCGACUACGUGAGGGAAGAGGACCCCAAACUGUACGUGUCAGAGAAGACCGGAAGGGGCCCGCUGGAGGAUACAUGGCUGGAAGAUUAUUGGGCCGAUGUGGAAGGAAAGCAACAGCCAACGCCGUCGGGAAAGUCACUAAUGUGCGCGUACAAGCUAUGCCGAGUAGAGUUCCAUUAUUGGGGUAUGCAAACGAAAUUAGAAAAGUUCAUACACGACGUAGCUCUGCGGAAGACAAUGGUGCGGGCGCACAGGCAGGCCUGGGCUUGGCAGGACGAGUGGAACGGUCUGACGAUGGAAGAUAUCAGGGAGAUCGAGCGGCAGACGCAAUUGGCGCUGCAACGGAAGAUGGGUCUCGGUGACUCAGAGGACGAGCUCGAGGACGGUGAGACUCGGAAAGUGAGCGCGACGGCGACAACGACGACAAUGACGUCGAUCACGACGGCAACGGCGACAGCGGCGAACGCGACGAUGAUGUCGGAGGAGUCGGCAGUAGCUAAGACGCUGGCGGCCACCCUGGGCAGCAUCGAGAAGAACGAAGAGGUGCGGAGUCCGCCGUCCGUCAGGAAGCCAUCCGACAUUCCCAUCAUCAAUACAGCGGCCAGUUCCGAGGGCGAGAUUAGUCCCGAGGACUCGCCGAUCGAUUUGGAUGAGAUUAAAAAUGCGGCCGGUGAGAAGACCAAGAAGUGGACAAAGAACAUGCCCGUGCAUUCGCCAAAUACGAAUAAGAACUUCGACAUACAGCUCGCAAAUUGGAGGCUGGAAAGCAUUGUCAGGGAGUCCGAAUCCGGCAGCGACGACGAAUUCUUCGAUUGUCAGGAGGACUUUGAAGAUAGCUCUUCAUUAGCUAAAUGGAGUUCUUUGGAUCUUCUAGCAGAAGGGGAGGAUACGAGCGUGCGGACACCAUCUGCGGCAAACGAGCAAGAGGAUACAAUAUUUUCGCCUUCUUAUCUGCAACGUAUCACUAACGAACGAAGCAGUAGGAGACUGCAGAUCAGCACGUCGGCCAGCAUCGACGUGUCAUGUCCAGCAUCUCCUCAACAUUCUCCUACGCAUCAACCGUGCAAAAUUACUGUUUUAAUUAUUGUGAUACACGGCGGCAGUGUUUUAGAUGCGAAUGUCGAUUUAACGGCAAAAAAGUCAGAUAUAACGACAUUCCGCGGAGCUUUUGAAUCUAUUAUGAGACAGCAUUAUCCUAGCAUGGUCGGCCACGUAUCCAUUAAAUUCGUCGCCUGUCCUUCCAUUUGCACUGAAGGCUUGGGCAUUUUGUCAAGCCUGAGUCCAUACAGCUUUGACAUGUCGCCUUCGUGCAUGGACGCUCCGCAAGUGACGCACGAUACCAUUCCGAUCGGCGCGAUUCCGCUUCUAGCAAGCUCGAGUUCUGAAUAUCAAGACACAGUAUCGCGUGUGGUGAUGAGUGCCAACCAAGUGUACCAUGAUUUCAUUAAGAGCGACGAGGGUAAAGGUUUCAGCGGACAAAUAUGCUUUGUAAGCGACUCAGUAGGGUCGAUCUUGACCUAUGACGCUCUGUGCAAAGCGACACAGCACUCGAGACACAGUAGCGAAAACAGCAUUCUGGAGGGUACCGGUCAGCAGGGCAAUGACAAUAGUGGAAAUGAAGACGGCAAGCAUCUCUCUGCGCCAUCUCCUCGAAGAAGGUCUUCUGGCACGGGUGACAACAAGUUGGACUUCGAAGUGGGUGACUUUUUUAUGUUCGGUAGUCCGCUUGCACUAGUCCUCGCUUACAGAAAGAUCACCGCAUCGAGCGACAGAAAUAGUUUCAUACCCAGGCCGUUAGUCAAUCAAGUAUACAAUCUGUUUCAUCCUACAGAACCUGUAGCUGCGAGAUUAGAACCCUUGAUCUCAGCAAGAUUUUCCUUAAUUGCGCCGGUUAAUAUUGCUGAAUAUGGAAAGUAUCCGCUCGGCAACGGCCAACCUUAUCACUUGCUGGAGACUAUCCAGACCAAUCCGCAGCUGUACGCUGAUGGAUUGAACGUUCCCAAUUUUCAAAUGUCGCAUUUAAGAAGAUUAUCCGAUAUAUCACUUCAAAGUACAAUGUCAGGCAUUAUCGAUAAUGUUCCUUUACAGGCAGUGUCUGCCCUGAUGCAAAAGUGGUGGGGAACCAAAAGACUAGAUUAUGCGCUCUAUUGUCCAGAGGGUCUCACUAAUUUUCCUACGAAUGCCUUGCCGCAUAUCUUCCACGCUAGUUAUUGGGAGUCUCCGGAUGUGAUCGCGUUUAUUUUGAGGCAAUUGGGCAGAGUCGAUGCACCAUUGCUCGGCAACGAGGAAAAAGAUCUCACUUGCUUCCGUCCAGGUCAACCCAGAGAAAAAUGGAAUAAAAAACGUACCUCCGUUAAAAUUAAGAAUGUUGCUGCCAAUCACAGAGCGAAUGAUGUCAUCGUGAGGGAAGGUGUACCACAAAUAUUAGUCGCUAGGUUUAUGUACAGUCCUAUUGAUAUGAUAACUUUAACAGGUGAGAAAGUUGAUAUCCAUAUUAUGAAAAACGCACCGGCAGGCGAGUGGACAUACCUCUCUACCGAGGUAACUGACAAGAAUGGUAGAAUAAUUUAUAAAAUACCAGAUGACAAAACGUUAGGUUAUGGGCUUUAUCCAAUAAAGAUGAUUGUAAGGGGAGAUCAUACAUCUGUAGAUUUUUUCGUGGCUGUGAUACCGCCGAGAACUGAAUGUGUGGUUUUUAGCAUAGACGGUUCUUUUGCCGCCAGUAAGUCUGUGAGUGGUAAAGAUCCGAAAGUCUGGGCUGGUGCCGUCGACGUUGUGAGGCAUUGGCAGGAAUUGGGUUACCUCAUCAUUUAUAUUACCGCGAGACCCGAUAUGCAACAGCAGACAGUAGUUUCCUGGCUGUCGCAGCAUAAUUUUCCUCACGGUCUCGUUUCAUUUGCCGAUGGCCUGUCCAGGGAUCCGCUCGCCCACAAAGCUGCCUACUUGAAUAAGCUUGUGAAGGAGCACGGUAUGAUAAUCCAUCAGGCGUAUGGCAGCGAGAAAGAUAUUAACGUGUACACGGCGGUAAGUCUCAAACCGAGCCAGAUCUUCAUCAUCGGCAAAGUAUCCAAGAAGCAUCAAGCUAUGGCGACAAUACUGUACGAUGGAUAUGCCGCUCAUUUGAGCACACUGCAAGUGCACGGGGGUUCGCGGCCUGCUCAGGGCAACGCGCGCAUGGUGAUCCCUAGAGGUCAGUUCGUCUUACCAGGACAGAAUGCAUCUCUGCGACGACGAAGUAACGACACAGCGGUGAACUCCCCGGCGCGCAACAGCGUCUACUUAAAGCGGAAAACCUACCUUACUCACAUCUAACACACGCCUAUAAUCUACGUACAAUUUACUUACUCACAUUGGUACCUGCUAUGAGGAUAUGUCGCGUUGUCUCAGCGUAGUUAAAUAUCACUUCUCUGUCUCUAUCUCUCACUUGGCGAAAAGCUGUUGUCGCCAUACCUACGCUCAAACUCAUUGUUUGCCUAUCGGCUAGUACACAAUGUCCAGGAUCUGUGGUUAAUCCGCUCUAUGACCGCUCGCUAGAUACGCCCGGGAAAUAGAGUCGUUUUCGUAAUCCUCCUCGAAAUGAACCGGUCUCACUUUAGCGACGAAGCUCUUUUAGGACGGCAAAGCGUGCGAUCUCACAGCCACCCUUAGGCAAGACAUCCUUCCCAUUGGAACGAUCAUC